GGUGGGUUGGCUCAGUGGUUAGAGCGUAGGUCUCAUAACCGAAAGGUUGCGGGUUCGAAUCCCGCUAGAGGCUG
rnacentral:tRNA from 1 species